rnacentral:rRNA from 1 species
ACAUAACUGAUGCCUCCGCGUAUCGACUUUGUGCGCAUUUUAGCUAUUAUGUGUUCUUUUAAUUAAAAUGAUUCUUUUUAAGAUUCAUCUAUUAAGAAUUUGCUUCGGCAUAAUUUUUUUUGAUGAUCUUGUUACUUUGAGUAAAUUAGAGUGUUCAAAGCAAACAGAUAUAGCAUUUGUGCGUUUGAAUACUACAGCAUGGAAUAACAAAAUUGAACAAGUCAGAAUUUUUUUGUUCUUUUUUCUUAUUUUGGCUUAGUUACGAUUAAUAGGAGUAGCUUGGGGGCAUUUGUAUUCAGAUGUCAGAGGUGAAAUUCUUAGAUUUUCUGGAGACAAACAACUGCGAAAGCAUUUGCCUAAAAUACUUCCAUUAAUCAAGAACGAAAGUUAAGGGAGUGAAGACGAUCAGAUACCGUCGUAAUCUUAACCAUAAACUAUGCCGACUAGGCUUUGGAUGAAAGAUUUUAAAAUAAGAGUUUUUCUUUUCUCUCCGGAGAUUAGAACUCUUAGAUUGCUUCCUUCAGUGCCUUAUGAGAAAUCAAAGUCUUUGGGUUCUGGGGCGAGUAUUCGCGCAAGCGAGAAAGUUAAAAGAAUUGACGGAAGGGCACCACCAGGCGUGGAGCUUGCGGCUUAAUUUGACUCAACACGGGAAAACUCACUAGUUUAAGACAAGAGUAGGAUUGACAGAUUAAUAGCUCUUUCUUGAUUUCUUGGAUGGUGAUGCAUGGCCGUUUUUAGUUCGUGAAUAUGAUUUGUCUGGUUAAUUCCGAUAACGAACGAGAUCUUAACCUGCUAAUUAGCGGCAAAUACGAUAUAUUCUUAUGUAGAAUUGAAUAUAGUGGAUUUGUUGGAUUUUGAAGAAAAUAUUGGAAUUACGUUAAAUGUCAUUCCUUUCCCUUUUCUACUUAAUUUACAUUUCCAUCUAUUUCUUUUUUGCGUAUGAAUGUAUUUGCUUGAUUGUAAAGCUUCUUAGAGGAACGAUGUGUG